UACGUAGGGUGCAAGCGUUAAUCGGAAUUACUGGGCGUAAAGCGUGCGCAGGCGGUUUUGUAAGUCUGUCGUGAAAUCCCCGGGCUCAACCUGGGAAUUGCGAUGGAGACUGCAAGGCUAGAAUCUGGCAGAGGGGGGUAGAAUUCCACGUGUAGCAGUGAAAUGCGUAGAGAUGUGGAGGAACACCGAUGGCGAAGGCAGCCCCCUGGGUCAAGAUUGACGCUCAUGCACGAAAGCGUGGGGAGCAAACGAGGAUU
rnacentral:rRNA from 1 species